AAUGGGCGCAAGCCUGACCCAGCAACGCCGCGUGAGGGAAGAAGGUUUUCGGAUUGUAAACCUCUGUCCUUAGGGACGAAAAAAAUGACGGUACCUAAGGAGGAAGCUCCGGCUAACUACGUGCCAGCAGCCGCGGUAAUACGUAGGGAGCAAGCGUUGUCCGGAAUUACUGGGCGUAAAGGGUGCGUAGGUGGCCAUGCAAGUCAGAUGUGAAAUCCCCGGGCUUAACUCGGGGGGUGCAUUUGAAACUGCGUGGCUUGAGUGCAGGAGAGGAAAGCGGAAUUCCUAGUGUAGCGGUGAAAUGCGUAGAUAUUAGGAGGAACACCAGUGGCGAAGGCGGCUUUCUGGACUGUAACUGACACUGAGGCACGAAAGCGUGGGGAGCAAA
rnacentral:rRNA from 1 species